CGAACGGGUGAGUAACACGUGGGUGACCUGCCUCGGAGUGGGGGAUAACCAUGGGAAACUGUGGCUAAUACCGCAUGGGCUUGUUAGACUUGGCGUCUAACGAGUAAAGCUUUAGUGCUUCGAGAGGGGCCUGCGUCCGAUUAGGUAGUUGGUGAGGUAAUGGCUCACCAAGCCGAUGAUCGGUAGCUGGUCUGAGAGGACGAUCAGCCACACGGGAACUGAGAAACGGUCCCG
rnacentral:rRNA from 1 species